rnacentral:rRNA from 1 species
GUGAACGCUGGCGGUAGGCCUAACACCUGCAAGUCGAACGGCAGCACAGUAAGAGCUUGCUCUUACGGGUGGCGAGUGGCGGACGGGUGAGGAAUACAUCGGAAUCUACUUUUUCGUGGGGGAUAACGUAGGGAAACUUACGCUAAUACCGCAUACGACCUACGGGUGAAAGCAGGGGAUCUUCGGACCUUGCGCGAUUGAAUGAGCCGAUGUCGGAUUAGCUAGUUGGCGGGGUAAAGGCCCACCAAGGCGACGAUCCGUAGCUGGUCUGAGAGGAUGAUCAGCCACACUGGAACUGAGACACGGUCCAGACUCCUACGGGAGGCAGCAGUGGGGAAUAUUGGACAAUGGGCGCAAGCCUGAUCCAGCCAUACUGCGUGGGUGAAGAAGGCCUUCGGGUUGUAAAGCCCUUUUGUUGGGAAAGAAAAGCAGCAGGUUAAUACCCCGCUGUUCUGACGGUACCCAAAGAAUAAGCACCGGCUAACUUCGUG